UACGUAGGGUGCAAGCGUUGUCCGGAAUUAUUGGGCGUAAAGAGCUCGUAGGCGGUUUGUCGCGUCUGCUGUGAAAACUCGGGGCUUAACCCCGGGCCUGCAGUGGGUACGGGCAGACUAGAGUGCGGUAGGGGAGACUGGAAUUCCUGGUGUAGCGGUGAAAUGCGCAGAUAUCAGGAGGAACGACCGGUGGCGAAGGCGGGUCUCUGGGCAACAACUGACGCUGAGGAGCGAAAGCGUGGGGAGCGAACAGG
rnacentral:rRNA from 1 species